GACGAACGCUGGCGGCGUGCUUAACACAUGCAAGUCGAACGGAAAGGCCCUGCUUUUGUGGGGUGCUCGAGUGGCGAACGGGUGAGUAACACGUGAGUAACCUGCCCUUGACUUUGGGAUAACUUCAGGAAACUGGGGCUAAUACCGGAUAGUAGCUCCUGCUGCAUGGUGGGGGUUGGAAAGUGUCGGCGGUUGGGGAUGGACUCGCGGCUUAUCAGCUUGUUGGUGGGGGAGUGGCUGACCACGGCUGUGACGGGUAGCCGGCCUGAGAGGGUGAACGGCGACAAUGGGCCUACGGGACGGCGCAGAGUCGUACGGGAGGCAGCAGGGGCGAAUAUUGCGCAAUGGGGGGGAGCGUAUUGAGGAGGCGCCGCGUGCGGGAAGUCCGCCUUCGGGGUGGAAACCGCUUACGCCUGUGACGAAGCGUGAUUGACGGUAAUGGGUGAAGAAGCACCGGCUAACUACGUG
rnacentral:rRNA from 1 species